rnacentral:misc_RNA from 1 species
GAAAUGCGAUAAGUAAUGUGAAUUGCAGAAUUCAGUGAAUCAUCGAAUCUUUGAACGCACCUUGCGCUCCUUGGUAUUCCUUGGAGCAUGCCUGUUUGAGUAUCAUGAAAUCUUCAAAGUAAAUCUUUUGUUAACUCAAUUGGUUUCUACUUUGGUAUUGGAGGUCUUUGCAGCUUCACACCUGCUCCUCUUUGUUCAUUAGCUGGAUCUCAGUGUUAUGCUUGGUUCCACUCGGCGUGAUAAGUUAUCUAUCGCUGAGGACACUGUAAAAGGUGGCCAAGGUAAAUGCAGAUGAACCGCUUCUAAUAGUCCAUUGACUUGGACAAUACUUUUAUGAUCUGAUCUCAAAUUAGGUAGGACUACCCGCUGAACUUAAGC